UGGCGACCGGCGCACGGGUGAGUAACACGUAUCCAACCUGCCGAUAACUCGGGGAUAGCCUUUCGAAAGAAAGAUUAAUACCCGAUGGUAUAAUCAGACCGCAUGGUUUGAUUAUUAAAGAAUUUCGGUUAUCGAUGGGGAUGCGUUCCAUUAGGCAGUUGGUGAGGUAACGGCUCACCAAACCUUCGAUGGAUAGGGGUCCUGAGAGGAAGGUCCCCCACAUUGGAACUGAGACACGGUCCAA
rnacentral:rRNA from 1 species